rnacentral:rRNA from 1 species
UACGUAGGGUGCAAGCGUUAAUCGGAAUUACUGGGCGUAAAGCGUGCGCAGGCGGCUUUGCAAGACAGAUGUGAAAUCCCCGGGCUUAACCUGGGAACUGCAUUUGUGACUGCAUGGCUGGAGUGCGGCAGAGGGGGAUGGAAUUCCGCGUGUAGCAGUGAAAUGCGUAGAUAUGCGGAGGAACACCGAUGGCGAAGGCAAUCCCCUGGGCCUGCACUGACGCUCAUGCACGAAAGCGUGGGAAGCAAACAGG